rnacentral:rRNA from 1 species
GGAUAACAUGCCCUAAGGUGGGGGAUAAUCUCGGGAAACUGAGGAUAAUACCCCAUAGGUCUUCUCUGCUGGAAUGCUUGAAGGCCGAAAACUCCGGUGCCUUAGGAUUGGUCUGCGGCCUAUCAGGUUGUAGUGGGUGUAAUGGACCCACUAGCCCGUGACGGGUAUGGGCCUUGAGAGAGGGAGCCCAGAGAUGGACUCUGAGACAUGAGUCCAGGCCCUACGGGGCGCAGCAGUCGCGAAAACUUCGCAAUGGGGGCAACCCCGACGAGGGAAUUCCAAGUGCCAGCACUUUGUGUUGGCUGUUCUCCUGUCUAAAAAACAGGAGGAGUAAGGGGCGGGUAAGACGGGUGCCAGCCGCCGCGGUAAUACCCGCGCCCCUAGUGGUGGUCGAUAUUAUUGAGCCUAAAACGUCCGUAGCCGGUCUUUUAAAUCUUUGGGCAAAUCGGGCAGCUUAACUGUCCGACUUCCGAGGAGACUGGAAGACUUGGGACCGGGAGAGGUCAGAGGUACUUCUGGGGUAGGGGUAAAAUCCUGUAAUCCUGGAAGGACCACCGGUGGCGAAGGCGUCUGACUAGAACGGAUCCGACGGUGAGGGACGAAGCCCUGGGGCGCAAACGGGAUUAGAUACCCCGGUAGUCCAGGGUGUAAACGCUGCGGGCUUGGUGUUGGGGGUCCUUCGUGGGCGCCCAGUGCCGGAGAGAAGUUGUUAAGCCUGCUGCUUGGGGAGUAUGUCCGCAAGGAUGAAACU